ensembl:lncRNA
GGUGGCGCGGACCCCGCGGCGGCCGCCCAAUGACCGCGGGGAGGGCGGGGGCGACCGAGGCGACGCCCCUUCCCUACUCCGCCCACCCCGCCCCCUCCACCCCAGCCGGCUGCCUCGCCCCCUCGGAGCCGGGCCGGGUCUGCGGCGGCUCCUGGGACUUCUGACCGGCAGGCGCGGGGGCCGGAUCCCCGGGACCUGACUCCCACCCCGCGAGGCAUGCGCUCCAUCAGGGGCUCCCAAACCACUCCGACGCCACUCAGCCCAGCGCAGCCCCGACCCCUCCGAUGCCUGUGCUCGGGGUCCCUCCCUCCAGGGUCUCUCCGUUCUGACCCCGGAGCCGCCAAGUCCCCACCUCCGCGAACCUUCGAAGUUUCGCUGGUGGCGGUUCCCGGGACCGCGCCGCGCGCCGCGCCCCUGGCUGUCCGGGGCGAACUGGAUUCCUUCGCUGCGGCUUCGCCUCCCACCUACCCUGCUGUCCACUGCGGAUUCCCGGGCGAAGCCUUCUGCCCGCAGCAGCUUUUGGUGUUUCAGUCUGACUUGCAGAAGUAAGACCAGAAAGAAAAAAAAAAGAAGAAGAAGAAGAUAAUUUUAAAGUUAUUCUGAAAACAUGUGCAAUCCCAUAAAUGUUUACAAACAUGGUUGGAUUUUCCCAUCUGGAAAUGGUGGUGGCCAAGUUCCCUUCUAGCUUCAGCUCCAACAUGGCUUUCACAUUCCAAGUACAGUCUUCAAAAUCCAGCGUGUGUUUGGCACUGCAGUGGCCAAACC